rnacentral:rRNA from 1 species
GAAUUUGAUCUUGGUUCGGGAUGAACGCUGGCGGCGUGCCUAACACAUGCAAGUCGAGCGAUUCUCUUCGGAGAAGAGCGGCGGACGGGUGAGUAACGCGUGGGUAACCUGCCUCAUACACAUGGAUAACAUACCGAAAGGUAUGCUAAUACAGGAUAACAUAAGAGAUUCACAUGGAUUUCUUAUCAAAGCUCCGGCGGUAUGAGAUGGAUCCGCGUCUGAUUAGCUAGUUGGUAAGGUAACGGCUUACCAAGGCGACGAUCAGUAGCCGACCUGAGAGGGUGAUCGGCCACAUUGGAACUGAGACACGGUCCAAACUCCUACGGGAGGCAGCAGUGGGGAAUAUUGCACAAUGGGCGAAAGCCUGAUGCCAGCAACGCCGCGUGAGUGAUGAAGGCCUUCGGGUCGUAAAACUCUGUCCUCAAGGAAGAUAAUGACGGUACUUGAGGAGGAAGCCCCGGCUAACUACGUGCCAGCAGCCGC